rnacentral:rRNA from 1 species
AUUGAACGCUGGCGGCAUGCUUUACACAUGCAAGUCGAACGGCAGCGCGGGCUUCGGCCUGGCGGCGAGUGGCGAACGGGUGAGUAAUGCAUCGGAACGUGCCCAGUAGUGGGGGAUAGCCCGGCGAAAGCCGGAUUAAUACCGCAUACGACCUGAGGGUGAAAGCGGGGGACCGAAAGGCCUCGCGCUAUUGGAGCGGCCGAUGUCGGAUUAGCUAGUUGGUGGGGUAAAGGCUUACCAAGGCGACGAUCCGUAGCUAGUCUGAGAGGACGACCAGCCACACUGGGACUGAGACACGGCCCAGACUCCUACGGGAGGCAGCAGUGGGGAAUUUUGGACAAUGGGGGCAACCCUGAUCCAGCCAUGCCGCGUGCGGGAAGAAGGCCUUCGGGUUGUAAACCGCUUUUGUUCGGGAAGAAAUCCUCUGGGCUAAUACCCCGGGGGGAUGACGGUACCGGAAGAAUAAGCACCGGCUAACUACGUG